rnacentral:lncRNA from 10 species
UAAUCUUGGUGUGAGACAAUGAACGCAGGGUAUUUACCCUAGACAAUGAUACCACUUCACUUCCAGGCCCAUGUGUCUCUUCCUUGGCCUGCAUUUGACUUGUAUUCUUUCCCUGCAGUCAGCUGUAACCAUGAGUACAGCAACUUUCUGUGAGCUCUGUGAAUUCUUCCAGUGAAUUAUCAAAGGUACAGAGAGCAACUCUGCUGCUUCUCCUCCGGAGUGCGGCAUCAUCUUCCUGCUCUUCCUUCCAUUUGCUCUGUUGGCUCCUACUCCCCUUCCACUGAAGUAACUGUAGCUUUCCCCAGGGCUUAGGCCCAGGCCCUACUGAACCUCUAUUUCUGUGUGUUUGUCUGCACGUCUGCAAUCACUUCAACUCAAACUGCACCCACCAACGACAUGACCCUUAGAAGCUGCCAAAUCCUCGUUGCUGAAUGGUUUCAGUACUGCUACUGCUGGAGAAAAAGAAGAAAAAUUCACAUCCUUCCCCCCAAAAAAGAAAGGGGGAAACAUGGAACCAGGGAAAUUCUAUCUAAGCAUUCCAUCCUUCCUGGCACCUGGGUCUUCCUGGCACUAUGAAUUGAUAAAUUAUUACUCCUAUCUUAGAAACAAAAGGAAAUGAUGGAUCAGCGAGGCUAAGUAAUUUGCCGAAAGUUACACGGCAAGUUGGUGGUACUGAAACCAACAUUGUAUGGCUCUGGCAUCUUUCCUUCACAUCUAGGAAAGGGAAGGCCAGGGGGCCUGUUUUUCCUGAAGAAAGAAGACAGGACCAUCACACUGAGGAAGCCAAGAAAAGCAGUGCAGGAAAAGCCGGGCAAGUGCAGUGUUCCCAGAGACGUAACCAGAGAAAGAUCUGUGAAGUUUCCUCACAGGGACUUUCUCUGGGUGGAUUCUAGAUUCUGGGAAGCCGUGGGCCUCCCAAGAAGUUUUUGGCAGCACCUGGUCCAGCCAAACUACAUAUUCAAUACCCAGAAGAGAGAGAGAGGAGAAAAUCAAGAAUGGACAGUUUGUUGCCUGGUGGCCAGGGAAGGUCCCCAUAUUGAAAUAAUUCAAAGUAGACUUAACAGUGCAAAGGCUUCUUUUUCAUGUCAACAGUGCUGAGGUUAGCCAGAAAUUAAAGCAGAGGAGGUUAGGAAGAGACAGGAGGUAGAGAGAGGAAGGAAGUGCUUUUCUCCCCACCACCGUCUUCUCUCUAGAAACAUGUUUGAAUAAAUUGGAGACAUUCUCCAGUCAUUGCUGCCUAAUGGAGUUUUCCAUUGACAGAAGGCUCAGGUGUGGGCUGGUUACACAGAGGAUCUGAAAUAACACUCAGGGGCCCUGUGCUUUUUGGUCCUACCUCCUUGGAGUCCUGAAGACUGAGGUGAGGCACAGGAAGAAUUGGAAAAGACGCAUGUCUAUCCAUACCACUCACUUCCUAGGAAAGAGUCAGCUCUGAGUGUACACAGGAUGGGUCUUACAUGGCUCCAAUCCAUGGCAGGGUGGUCUACUUGGCCCUCUUAUUACCUGUCAGUAUCUGGGAAAGCAGGCAAUAGAAUUAGCAUCUAUUCUGUAAGCUCCAGCAUGGAGAAGACUUAAACUGAUCUCUAGUUAUCUUCAAUAGAUAGGAUACCGUAAUAAGAUUUCUGAAAUCAGAGAAAGAGAGAAACAGAGAAGCCAGACUUUCCAUUAGAUACUUCAGAAACAAGAGGAACACACACAAAAAAUAAGGAUGGACUCUGAUAUUCAGUGCCCAGUGAUGGCCUCUUCACUGAGGAUUAGUAGCCCACUCGGCUGGGUGUGGUGGCUCACACUUGUAAUCUUAGCACUUGGGGAGGCCGAGGAGUUCGAGACCAGCCUGGGCAACACAGUGAGACCUUGUUGCUAUUUUUUAAAAAAAGAAAGAAACAGAAAAGGAUUAACAGCUCACUUAACUCAUGUACUAUUUGAUACAUUAUUUUCCAAUAUUAUCAAAUACGGGGAUCUUGUUCUUAUCUCUACUAAUCUUUAUAUCUUCAAAGCCCUACCAAUCAAUUCCUUUAAUACCUAGCUCAGAGGUGACAUUCCUGGUGAAUCCUGCCCUGCAUACUUAAUUAAUCCUUCAUUUGAGUUCUAGGUGCCUUUUAAUAACCAAAUUUUCUUAUAUGUCAUGUAAAGAUAUUCUUAAAUUAUUAAGUCAAUAAAUUUAAAUUUACUUAGAAAACACAACUUUGACAAAAAAAGAAAAAUGCAUCAGCUGUAAUGCUACUACCCAGAGAUAAACAGUUACCAUGGUCAUGUACAUUUUCCCAGCCCUUCUGGUGUCAACUAAAGAAAAAAAAAUCAAGCUUGUAAAGAAUGAAAGGUGGUUGUAUUUAGAAGUCUUACUGAGGACUAUAGACUGAGGCCUAGA